rnacentral:lncRNA from 1 species
CUAGGCACCCCGAGGAUCGUUUGCAGCUGCUGUCUCUGUAGGUCCUGCCUUCGGCUAAGCAGGGCCCAUUCUGACCAGAAUCACAGGCCCCUGGACAGAAGUCAUGCUGUCCUCCAUCCCACAUAACUAGAGGACAGCAAGCCAUGCUACCCA